ACGGGUGAGUAACGCGUGGGAAUCUACCCAUCUCUACGGAAUAACGCAUGGAAACGUGUGCUAAUACCGUAUACGUCCUUCGGGAGAAAGAUUUAUCGGAGAUGGAUGAGCCCGCGUUGGAUUAGCUAGUUGGUGGGGUAAAGGCCUACCAAGGCGACGAUCCAUAGCUGGUCUGAGAGGAUGAUCAGCCACACUGGGACUGAGACACGGCCCAGACUCCUACGGGAGGCAGCAGUGGGGAAUAUUGGACAAUGGGCGCAAGCCUGAUCCAGCCAUGCCGCGUGAGUGAUGAAGGCCCUAGGGUUGUAAAGCUCUUUCACCGGUGAAGAUAAUGACGGUAACCGGAGAAGAAGCCCCGGCUAACUUCGUGCCAGCAGCCGCGGUAAUACGAAGGGGGCUAGCGUUGUUCGGAUUUACUGGGCGUAGAGCGCACGUAGGCGGACUAUUAAGUCAGGGGUGAAAUCCCGGGGCUCAACCCCGGAACUGCCUUUGAUACUGGUAGUCUUGAGUUCGAGAGAGGUGAGUGGAAUUCCGAGUGUAGAGGUGAAAUUCGUAGA
rnacentral:rRNA from 1 species